ensembl:lncRNA uncharacterized LOC110403217
ACACUGAGCGAGGAGCGGGAGGCACAGCUGCACGCAUCCCUUGCUACAUCCUCGGAGCCUGCUACUGCUUCAUCCUGCUGCUCCUGCAGCUGCUCUUCCACCUGCUGUGCCUGCGGGGCAGCUGCCAGCAGCAGAGCUGUCCUGGAGAAGCUUGCAGCUGCUGCUGGGGAGAAGAAGGCCGACGAGUGGGAGCAGACAGAGCCGGCACCCCAGGACACUGCAGUGUGCAGGCAGAAUGAGUGUGCUCAGCAGUGCCUCGGGCUGUUUUCCCCAACACCAGCCCCUGUGCUGGAGAAACCCAGGCAUCCCCAAGAACCUGUCCCUGCCUGCAGCGCACAACCACUUCCUCAUUCACAUUCCCGCACCGUUAAGUAACCCAUCCUGUGAGCAAAUAAACACCCCUUCCUCCACCAAAACUGUCUCCCAAGUGCCUGAUGUGAGGCUGCAGCAUCACUUGAGACAGUCCCAGCAGCAAAGCAAGAGAUGGGAGGCCAUUUACCAAAGCUUCAGGCCUGCCAUGGAUGGUGGUGGCACCUCAGGCUGGGGGUCGGGGCCCCAAGGCUGAUGUGCAGGGCAGGAGAUGGGCAGCUUCCGAGGCUGACAGAUUGCAGAGGGUCAGGGUGGGCAGCACCAACAGUCCUGGCCUCAGCCACCAGCUGCAGGCUGGGCUCCUGCUCCAGCCCGGGCACAGGAGUGUCUAGAGAUUCCUGUGGGCUCAUGUCUUCUUCCACUAGAAUCUGCCUGCCCUUGGGAUCCUCCUGGCACCUGGGAUUCCCCCUGCACAUCAUGCAGUGCCCGUGGCCUCCCCUCUCCGCUCACACGCACAGGAAGGAGCCCGGUCUCGCCCACCCGCAGCGAACCCAACGGGUGCAGAGGGGCUGAGCCAGAGCCGCUGACUUCCUCCUGGGCCAGGAGAGCACGGCAGCCUCAGGAGAUGUGCGGCGGGCGGCGCUGCUGGGACCUCGGCUCCCUCCUGCUGCUGCUGCUGCUGCUGGGGCAAAACCUGGGUCUUCUCAUCGACAUCCCGCAGGAUGUGGUCAGUGGCACCGUGGGGCAGUCCGUGCUCCUGCCUGUCUCCUACAGAGUCAACAGCUCCCUUUGCUUCCCAAUGUCAAUUCUGUGGAAGCUUGGGAACAGCCCACAAGUGAUCAUCACCUGCACAGUGCAGAACUGCUCCCUGGAUGCUGAGGGAGCUCCCAAGAAAUGCUCUGCAGUAUGUUUCCCUCUUGCCACAUACCGGAACCGCAUUGAGGUCUUCCCCGAGAACGCAUCCCUGCUGCUGCGGGACCUGCAGCUCAGUGACAGCGGGGUGUACAGCGUCACCUUCCAACAACAAAAUCAAAUCAGAUGGAUCACCCUAGUUGUGCACAAUCAGCAUGUUCCCCCCGAGCAUCAUGACGAAGGUAAGUGCCCAUGUGCCUGGAUAGAUCCCUUCUGCACUGCCCUGGACAUGGGGCAUCAGGCAUGGGCAGGAAUGUGGUUCCCUUCCCAUGGAUAUGAAGUGCUGCAGCAAAGGGAGGAUUUCCAGGGGUAUCGCAGCUGGUGCUGGUUGUGCUACUCUUUUACAGAAGGAAACCCACCCUGUUCUGCUCUGCCUGCUAAAUUAGAAGUAUGA